rnacentral:lncRNA from 1 species
AUGACCAAACAAAGCGCAACCAGGCCUGGCGAGGCAUUUCAGCUAUGCUGGGCGUUACCGGUGGUGGCUCAAAGUGAAGAGGAGAUAUCUCCUCCCUCUUCCAGCCUCUCACAGUCCGCUGCGGACACCUCUCCUCCAUCUCCUCCCACUACCUCUACGGUGGCUCUGGUCACACCGCUGCGUCCUGCACCUCCACCACCACGGAGGAGACAGCUGGAGCAGCCGCUGUCUGCGUUCCAGAAAUCAAUCAUGUCCUCCAUCCAAAAGGAAAAGGAGAAUGCACUGGCUGUUGACGAGGAUGAGCAUUUUAUGCUCAGCCUCGUCCCAUCGUUGAGGAGGCUGUCACACCAAAAAAAGGCCCAGGUGCGCAUGAGGAUGCAGCAGGUCCUGUACGAUGUGGAGUUUGGAGAGUAAUGAAUUUGUAACCAAUUUCUAUUUAGAUUUAGUUUCAGCUUUAAGAUUUUUUAAAUGUGUACAUAUCUUGGAAUCAUUUUCUAUUUAUAUUUAGUAUAAGCUAUAAGAAAUAUUUAAAUGUGUACAUAAUAUCUUGGAAUCAAUUUCUAUUUAGAUUUAGUACAAGCUAUAAGAAAUGUUUCAAAUGUGUACAUAAUAUCUUGGAAUCAUUUUC